AUUGAACGCUGGCGGCAGGCCUAACACAUGCAAGUCGAGCGGAGCGACUGACGGGAGAGUAAUGACUGGAAAUCUGCCUGGUAGUGGGUGAUAACGUCCUGAAACGGGCGCUAAUACCGAAUACUAUCAUACGAGCCAACGUGGGAUUAGCUAGUUGGUGAGGUAAAGGACUACCAAGGCGACGAACCGUACCUGGGCUGAGAGUAUGAUCAGUCACACUGGGACUGAGACACGGCCCAGACUCCUACGGGAGGCAGCAGUGGGGAAUAUUGGACAAUGGGCGAAAGCCUGAUCCAGCCAUGCCGCGUGUGUGAAGAAGGUCUUCGGAUUGUAAAGCACUUUAAGUUGGGAGGCGUUACCAACAGAAUAAGCAACGGCUAACUACGUGCCAGCAGCCGCGGUAAUUC
rnacentral:rRNA from 1 species